rnacentral:rRNA from 1 species
GAUGAACGCUGACAGAAUGCUUAACACAUGCAAGUCUACUUGAAUUUGGGUUUUUUAACUUAGAUUUGGGUGGCGGACGGGUGAGUAACGCGUAAAGAACUUGCCUCACAGUUAGGGACAACAUUUGGAAACGAAUGCUAAUACCUGAUAUUAUGAAUAUAUGGCAUCAUAUAAUUAUGAAAGCUAUAAGCGCUGUGAGAGAGCUUUGCGUCCCAUUAGCUAGUUGGAGAGGUAACGGCUCACCAAGGCGAUGAUGGGUAGCCGGCCUGAGAGGGUGAACGGCCACAAGGGGACUGAGACACGGCCCUUACUCCUACGGGAGGCAGCAGUGGGGAAUAUUGGACAAUGGACCAAGAGUCUGAUCCAGCAAUUCUGUGUGCACGAUGACGUUUUUCGGAAUGUAAAGUGCUUUCAGUUGGGAAGAAAAAAAUGACGGUACCAACAGAAGAAGUGACGGCUAAAUACGUGCCAGCAGCCGCGGUAAUACGUAUGUCACAAGCGUUAUCCGGAUUUAUUGGGCGUAAAGCGCGUCUAGGUGGUUAUGUAAGUCUGAUGUGAAAAUGCAGGGCUCAACUCUGUAUUGCGUUGGAAACUGUGUAACUAGAGUACUGGAGAGGUAAGCGGAACUACAAGUGUAGAGGUGAAAUUCGUAGAUAUUUGUAGGAAUGCCGAUGGGGAAGCCAGCUUACUGGACAGAUACUGACGCUGAAGCGCGAAAGCGUGGGUAGCAAACAGG